CACCCAUUAACUCUAAACCCUAAGUUUGUGACUUUUGAUAAAACAUUAAGUGCUAUUUUUGUGACUUUUGACCUUGAGUGCUAGUUUGAGACCUGCGAGAAUAACUAAAAUAUCAAUCUCCACCGUUGAUAGAUCAGAAUCUAACGGAUGUAAUUAUUCUUUUUCUUCUUCUUGAUUCUCUCACGACCUUUCCAAUUUUUUUCCUCACAUAUCUCAAACCUAAAUUAUCAAAUCUUCUCACAAUCCUCUCCGGUCUAUCUCUUCAUCUCUCAGAUCUGGUCGUCCUCUGCAAUCUUCUUCUCUCUGCUGAAGCUCCUCACCUCUUCCUCUAUCAAACCCCUCUGCCUCUCUCUCUCGUCUUUCCUUUUCUCUUCUCUCUCUCUCUUUUAUUUCACAGAUCUCUUUUUUUUCGAGAUCUCUCUUAACCUCUAUCUCACAAACGAUUCAUCUCACAGAUAUCUAUCUGUCUCACUCUCCUAAUCUCUCUGUCACACAUCUCCAACCAUCUUUUUCAGAAAGGCGGAGGACAAGCAACGGUGGAGGCGCGACAGAUUCGUCUCUGGUCAAGCUCUGCGUUGGCUUCACCUCCUCACCACCAUCAAAGAUUUAUUAACGAGCAAGGAAAGGAGAAGCAGUGGUGUGACACAGCGGCGUCUCUGGUCAAUCGUGGUGCGGCGGUGGUGCAAGCCGGUGGUGGGGUAGUGGUCGUGCGGCGGAGAUUCGAGCAUCAUGGUCACUGAAGAAGAAUGUCGUUUGGUGGCAGUAUUAGGUUUAGUUCGGGGUUAAUUAGUUAGCCAAUUUGAAACUGUAAACCAUUUUGUAAUUGUAAACCAUGUAAACCAAAAUUCAAUUUAUAAAAAUACCAAUUUUUCAUUUUUU